rnacentral:rRNA from 1 species
CAGAGGGGGCUAGCGUUGUUCGGAAUUACUGGGCGUAAAGGGCGCGUAGGUGGCCUGUUAAGUCGAACGUGAAAUCCCCGGGCUCAACCCGGGAACUGCGUCCGAGACUGGCAGGCUCGAAUCCGGGAGAGGGAUGUGGAAUUCCAGGUGUAGCGGUGAAAUGCGUAGAUAUCUGGAGGAACACCGGUGGCGAAGGCGGCAUCCUGGACCGGUAUUGACGCUGAGGCGCGAAAGCCAGGGGAGCAAACGGGAUUAGAUACCCCGGUAGUCCUGGCCCUAAACGAUGAAUGCUUGGUGUGGCGGGUAUCGAUCCCUGCCGUGCCGAAGCUAACGCAUUAAGCAUUCCGCCUGGGGAGUACGGCCGCAAGGCUG